rnacentral:rRNA from 1 species
UUGAAAGGGAAACGAUUGAAGUCAGUCGUACCAGCGGGAAAUCAACCUUUCGAGUGGGGGUUUUGGAGUUUUUUGAAGAGUGUCAAAACCUUUGAGAUUUCAAAAUAUUCGCUCUUUUGGUGUACUUUCUCGUGGGUAGGUUAACAUCGAUUUUGAUCAUCAUAAAAAGAUUGGAGGAAUGUAGCUUCGAUCUUGUAUUGAAGUGUUAUAGCCUUUGGUAAAUGUGAUGAUUAGGAUCGAGGAUUGCAACGAAUACCCUUUUGGGCUAUCCACCUGAUCUCUGAUACGUGGCCUUGGUAUCGAAAGCGUGCUUAUGGUAUUGAGGUAUUACGGUCAAAAGGUUAGAACGGAUUACAUUCCUUAAGGAUGUUGACGUA